CUUUUCAUUCCAAUCUUCAUACACACACUUUUAUAAGGUGUGAAGUUUAUUUUGGGCAGGAUACAGAAUCUACGCAAUAAUGUCUUCCUUUUAAAAUUGGAAGAGAAAGCAGGUAUGGUGGUGAAAUCUACAAUCCCAGGACUCGGGGAGUCUGCAACAAGAAGACUCCAAUUUUGAGCCCAGCCUUGGCAACUGAGCAACUUAAAGAGACCUUGUUUAAAUUUGUGGCACAAAUGAUACCGAUCAGAAUGAUGCUCUCAUUCAAGCAGUACCUCAAGAGCGUGGACUUUCAUAAUUGUGGAGAUGGAGACUCUACAGUUACAACUGACAGGUGUGUUUCUGAGAGAGCCUGAGUACUGAUAGUGAAAGAAUUGCCAAGGCCAGCAGUUCAAGAUCCUGCACUUUCAGGGAUCGAACUCAGGUCCUUGAGCUUGCGAGGCAGGUGCUGGAACCACUGAGCUAAAUCCCCGGCCCCUAACUGAUAUUCUAUAGGAGGAAAUGGAAGUCAGGCAAAGUAUACAUUUUUUGACUCUUUCAGACAAGCCAGAGUUCUGAUUUCACAAAAGAUAAAUGGAGAGUGUCUGAAGGCAAAAGCAAGUGGAACAUCUAAUUAGAUACAAAAAUAGUGAAAGCAAUGCCAUUUAAAGACCAUGAUUGAAGAUAUGGAUCCUACACUGUAGAUGACAAAGCAAAAAGAAAGGAAGACCUCUCUCCUGAAUUAUAUCAUUGAGCCUCUGAUCUAAUAUUGCAGCUGUUUUACUGCAGACCUCUUGCUACAUAGAAUAAUACCACUUCUUAAGCCACUCCACAGUCCAGAAUUUGAGAAGAAUUCAAAUUGGUGUGGACUUUCUUGUACUCCUUUUCUCCUUCAGCUAUAUCUGGAGUUGGGGCUGGAAGAUCAAGGAAAACAAGGGGAAAUGGUUGCUGAGAUCUGUUGAGAGAGAUUCAUCCUCUGUGUAGACCUGGUAACAGUUCUGAUAUCAGAGAGAGGAACUCUUUCUCAGACCCAUUAAGGAGGCCCAGCUCCUAAGUUUCUGAGUGGCUUUUGAGGGUGUUUUCCAUGGUCAGCCUGCUCCGAGUCAUUUGUGAAAGAGGAAAUCUGACCACCAGAAGCAGAGCAACCCAGAAGAGCCUGGAGAAGGGGGACUAAGGUGGAGACACUGCUCAAAGGCCCACUCCCUGGAACCUGCUUUCUCCUCCUGGGACCCCUCCUGACAGCGCUAUGGAGUCACCCAUGGGUUAGUCCAUUAUGGAGGCUGCUGUCUUAGGAUCCAGUCUUCCUAAAAGGAUAAGCCUUUUGGGGUAAUUUUAGAUGAAACAGUAACAGACAUUGUUCCUCAAUUGCUUCAUUUUCAAGUAGAAAAGGAAAAUAUUUACUUGCAAAAAUUCUACUCCUAAAAUUCACUGCAUGUUCCUAUUUGGAGUUGCAAGAUUUGAUUUUAUUUUCAAAUUUUUUUGAGAAUCUUAUUUGUGAAAGAAAAACACAACUCUUCAUAUGUCGUUCCUAAUACUGGAGACAGCAAAUUAAUAUUCUGUUAUCAGAGGUUAUUCACUUCCAUCCCUUUCUGUGUUUGAUCUGCUGUAGUUUGCAGGAAGUGAGGAGAGGAGGUAUGGAUGGACAUGGCACAAAACUGCUUUCAGGUGGAUUUGGAGAGCUAGAAGAAGAAUCAAAGUUUGUUGAAUUUAAUCUUCUAUUCCUUGUUUAUUUGUUCGAUGAAAAAGAAAUGUCAGGUAACUAAAAUAAAAGCACAACUGGAAAUGAAGGAUGGACUAGAACAACUUUGGAAAGUAGAAUUAAAACCACCAGAAAAGAAAUGGAAGACAAAGAAAUAAAAUAAUUUACAAGCUGCAAUGUAGCAUAGACCUAAAAUGUGAUAGCAUAAUUGAGUGAAGAGUCUCUUGAAGAUGAUCAAAAUAUCAAACUGAUUAAUUAUAAAAUGUAACUGUGAAGAACUAUAAUUUUGUGAAGGAAGAAAAAUUGUGACUGUAUUUUCAAAAGUACAUUUUUAUCAUUCAUAUUAAAUGAAAUACAAAAUAGUGUUUGGAGAAAAAAGAAACUAAAAGAAUUGCAUAAAAU
ensembl:lncRNA